rnacentral:rRNA from 1 species
CCCUUAGAUGUCCUGGGCCGCACGCGCGCUACACUGAACGGAUCAGCGCGUUUUCCCUUCCCGAGAGGGACGGGUAACCUGCUGAACCCCGUUCGUGGUAGGGGUCGGGGCUUGCAAUUAUUCCCCGUGAACCAGGAAUGCCCAGUAAGUGCAAGUCAUAAGCUUGCGUUGAUUACGUCCCUGCCCUUUGUACACACCGCCCGUCGCUACUACCGAUUGAACGUUUUAGUGAGGUACUCGGACUGAGCCUCAGAAGAUUCACGUCUUUUGUGCUGCUCGGGAAGAUUCCCAAACUUGAGCGUUUAGAGGAAGUAAAAGUCGUAACA